AUUGAACGCUGGCGGCAUGCUUUACACAUGCAAGUCGAACGGUAACAGGCCGCAAGGUGCUGACGAGUGGCGAACGGGUGAGUAAUGCAUCGGAACGUGCCCAGUCGUGGGGGAUAACGCAGCGAAAGCUGUGCUAAUACCGCAUACGAUCUAUGGAUGAAAGCGGGGGACCGUAAGGCCUCGCGCGAUUGGAGCGGCCGAUGUCAGAUUAGGUAGUUGGUGGGGUAAAGGCCUACCAAGCCGACGAUCUGUAGCUGGUCUGAGAGGACGACCAGCCACACGGGGACUGUGACACGGCCCAGACUCCUACGGGAGGCAGCAGUGGGGAAUUUUGGACAAUGGGCGCAAGCCUGAUCCAGCAAUGCCGCGUGCAGGAAGAAGGCCUUCGGGUUGUAAACUGCUUUUGUACGGAACGAAACGGUCUGGGUUAAUACCCUGGGCUAAUGACGGUACCGUAAGAAUAAGCACCGGCUAACUACGUGCCAGCAGCCGCGGUAAUAC
rnacentral:rRNA from 1 species